AAAAAUGCUUGUUUUUUGCCCCUUUUUUGGCCCCUAAUUCCUAAAAUUUGGAGGCAAUUACCCCCAAAAUCAAUCCCAGCAUUCCUUUAGUGAUAUGGAACCUUGUGGUACAAUGUCAGAGAGAUCCAUACACUUACACACAAGUUAUGUCUGGAAGUUACAAAAAUUGUAUUACCAUAACCCCCAAAAUCAAUCCCAACCUUCCUUUUGUGGUAUUGAACCUUGUGGUAAAAUUUCAUAAAGAUCCAUUCACUUAAACUAAAGUAAGAGUGCCAAAACCAAUGUGUCUUCGGACGACGCCGGACGACGACGACGACGACGCCAACGUCAUACCAAUAUACGACCACAAAAAUUUUUUUGCGGUCGUAUAAAAACUUAACACUGAGCAAUGAACCUUGAAAAUGAGGUCAAGGUCAAAUAAAACCUGCGUGACUGCCAAAUAGAUCAUAAAAUAUUUCCAUACACCAAAUAUAGUUGAACUAUUGCAUAUAGUAUAAGAAAAACAGACCAAAACACAAAAACUUAACUAUAACCACUGAACCAUGAAAAUGAGGUCAAGGUCAGAUGACACCUGCCAGUUGGACAUGUACACCUUACAGUCCUUCCAUACACCGAAUAUACUAGACCUAUUGCUUAUAGUAUCUGAGAUAUGGACUUGACCACCAAAACUAAACCUUGUUCAUUGAUCCAUGAAAUGAGGUCGAGGUCAAGUGAAAACUGUCUGACGGUCAUGAGGACCUUGCAAGGUACGCACAUACCAAAUAUAGUUGAACUAUUGCACAUAGUAUUAGAAAAAAAGACCAAAACUCAAAAACUUAAUACCAAAUAUAGUUAUCCUAUUACUUAUAAUAAGAGAGAAUCUAACAUUUCAAAAAAUCUUAACUUUUUUUUCAAGUAGUCACUGAACCAUGAAAAUGAGGUCAAGGACAUUGGACAUGUGACUGACGGAAACUUCGUAACAUGAGGCAUCCAUAUACAAAAUAUGAAGCAUCCAGACCUUCCACCUUCUAAAAUAUAAAGCUUUUAAGAAGUUAGCUAACGCCGCCGCCGCCGCCGCAUCACUAUCCCUAUGUCAAGCUUUCUGCGACAAAAGUCGCAGGCUCGACAAAAACGGGACCCAAAAUUAAAAAUCUAAAAACAUGGUAAGAUUUGGCAUAUCAAAGAACCCCAAUAAUUCAAUUUUUGAUGAAAUCAAACAAAGUUUAAUUUUGGACCCUUUUGACCUCAAUAUGAACCAAUUUGAUAGCAGGCCCACAAAUAAAAAAUCUAAAUACAUGGUUAGAUUUGGCAUAUCAAAGAACCCCAAUAAUUCAAUUUUUGAUGAAAUCAAACGAAGUUUAAUUUUGGACCCUUUUGACCUCAAUAUGAACCAAUUUGAUAGCGGAGUCCACAAAUAAAAAAUCUAAAUACAUGGUUAGAUUCAGCAUAUCAAAGAACCCCAUAUAUUCAUUUUUUGUUGAAAUCAAACAAAGUUUAAUUUUGGACCCCAAUUUGGACCAACUUGAAAACUGGGCCAAAAAUCGAAAAUCAAAAUACAUGUUUAGAUUCAGCAUAUCAAAGAACCCCAUAUAUUCAAUUUUUGUUGAAAUCAAACAAAGUUUAAUUUUGGACCCCAACUUGGACCAACUUGAAAACUGGGCCCAUAAUCAAAUAUCUAAACACAUGUUUAGAUUCAGCAUAUCAAAGAACUCCAAGAAUCCAAUUUUUGUUAAAAUCAAACUAAGUUUAAGUUUGGACCCUUUGGACCUUAAUGUAGACCAAUUUAAAUAUAAUGCUCUGCUGGGGCGCAGCUUGAUACGACCGCAGAGGUCGAACCCUGAACAGUUGGGGCAAAUUUGGACACAACAUUCAAGCUUGAUACAGCACUGAAUUUGGAUUGUAAUUAAAUA